UACGAAGGGGGCUAGCGUUGCUCGGAAUCACUGGGCGUAAAGCGCACGUAGGCGGCUUUUUAAGUCAGAGGUGAAAUCCUGGAGCUCAACUCCAGAACUGCCUUUGAUACUGGAGAGCUUGAGUCCGGGAGAGGUGAGUGGAACUGCGAGUGUAGAGGUGAAAUUCGUAGAUAUUCGCAAGAACACCAGUGGCGAAGGCGGCUCACUGGCCCGGUACUGACGCUGAGGUGCGAAAGCGUGGGGAGCAAAGCAGG
rnacentral:rRNA from 1 species